AGCUGGAGCCACAACCAGAGUCAGAGGCAGCGUCAGAGGAAGAGCCAGAGGAAGAGCCUGAGGCAGAGCCGUCCCUGUGCCCCAGCUCGGAGUCCCCGGCUCUGCUGAGAGCAGCCCCCAGCACCCCCUAUUCCCUGCGGAUGACUGAGCAGAGCGAUGGAGCGCAGAGCCCCAUGGAGCCCUCCCCGCCCCACUGCUCCCACACGGAGCUCAUCCAGGAGCUGAUCUGUGCCAUCCGUGAGAACCACGCAGCCGUUGAGCGCCGCUGCCAACUGCUGCGGGCAGUGCUGGAGCGGCAGAGGGCAGCCGGGACGCCCAGAGAGCCCCUUCACGACCCCCCGGCCCAGGAGCCCCCCGCCCAGGAGCCCCCGGCCCAGGAGCCCCCCAGUCUCCAUCUGCUUGUUCAGAUGAAUGUCCUUAGUACGGGGAUGUGGCCGCUACUGAAGAGGGCCACCGACAUGGAUAUGAACAAUCAUAAGGACAUGGACACGGAUGCGGACAUGAACCUGGACACAGAUGAGCACCCAGAAGUGGGAGCAGACGGGAGCGCCCCAAAGGAUGUGGACCAGAGCGUGCUGAUGGACCCAGGCAGGAUCAGCCCGAUGGAUCCACGCAGAAACAUCCCCAUGGAUCCAGACAGGGCCAUCCCAGCAGAUGCAGGCAGGACCAACCCAACGGGGUGCCUCUGGGGUCCCAAGGGCACGGCCCAUCUGCGGGUGACCCCGGGGCUGUGCCGGGCCAGGCAGCGCCUGCAGCACAGCUUCUCCAGGCUGUGGCGGUGGGUGCAGGAGCGCUGGAGGCACUGCCGUGCACAGCCCUUUUGGCAGCGCUGGUCCUCCGUGGGGAGGAAGACUCCCUGAGCCCGAGUGUGGGGCCCGGCACUGCCACAGCCCCACCGCGCUCCCUCCGGCUCAGACCACUGACGAGUUUCCCUUCCCGGCUGCUGCUGAUCCCUUCCCAUCCCAGAGUCACACAGCCCAGCAGUGCCCCCGAGCAGCGAUGGGUCCCAAGGACCACUUGGGAUGGUCAUGCAGAUGCUGCUGCUGCUGCAGCACAGCCUGUUUGCAGUCGUGCUGCGGUCCCGGCGGCUGCGGAAGAUCUGCCGGAGGUUGGGGAAGAAGAGGAGAGCGCCGAGCGCCAGGAGGAAGAAGGGGAGAGGUGAGCAGCCCCAGUGCCAGCGCUGAGCAGCCUAGCCAGUGUGGGGCUGGGCGGGGGUCCCGGCCGUUCACACGCUCUUGCUUUGGCAGAUGCUUGCGGGAAGGACAGAGCAGCGGGGAUGUCGUCGCCGACGUGGGAAUUGCGGACGAGCCCACGGGAAAGGA
ensembl:lncRNA